UGUUUGAACCGCAUGGUUCAGACAUAAAAGGUGGCUUCGGCUACCACUUACAGAUGGACCCGCGGCGCAUUAGCUAGUUGGUGAGGUAACGGCUCACCAAGGCAACGAUGCGUAGCCGACCUGAGAGGGUGAUCGGCCACACUGGGACUGAGACACGGCCCAGACUCCUACGGGAGGCAGCAGUAGGGAAUCUUCCGCAAUGGACGAAAGUCUGACGGAGCAACGCCGCGUGAGUGAUGAAGGUUUUCGGAUCGUAAAGCUCUGUUGUUAGGGAAGAACAAGUGCCGUUCAAAUAGGGCGGCACCUUGACGGUACCUAACCAGAAAGCCACGGCUAACUACGUGCCAGCAGCCGCGGUAAUACGUAGGUGGCAAGCGUUGUCCGGAAUUAUUGGGCGUAAAGGGCUCGCAGGCGGUUUCUUAAGUCUGAUGUGAAAGCCCCCGGCUCAACCGGGGAGGGUCAUUGGAAACUGGGGAACUUGAGUGCAGAAGAGGAGAGUGGAAUUCCACGUGUAGCGGUGAAAUGCGUAGAGAUGUGGAGGAACACCAGUGGCGAAGGCGACUCUCUGGUCUGUAACUGACGCUGAGGAGCGAAAGCGUGGGGGAGCGAACAGGAUUAGAUACCCUGGUAGUCCACGCCGUAAACGAUGAGUGCUAAGUGUUAGGGGGUUUCCGCCCCUUAGUGCUGCAGCUAACGCAUUAAGCACUCCGCCUGGGGAGU
rnacentral:rRNA from 1 species